UGGGAAGGGGGGAGUUGAACCCCAUUAGUGGGUUUACAGCCCACCGCCUAACACUCGGCCACCUAACC
rnacentral:tRNA from 1 species